UCUGCACACCUCCCACGCUUCAGAAAACCUACAGAAGGUAUGCUCACCAGAGACAACAUCUCUUCCCACAAGUUCUCACAUUGUUCAAGCACCUCACCAGAAGAGAAGCAUUUUUAAAGGAAACAACAAAGAAAAUAAUUUAAACCCAUCUUAGUACCUACCCUGAUAACCGCCAGCACCUGGUGCCCACCAAACACUGGGCACACUGACUCAAGCCUUUGCCAAAGGCUCCUAUCCCUUCCUUGGGGUGAAGGCAAACCGAGGCGCUCUUCACAGUGAAUCUGCAUUUUACGCAUAAGAAGUGUGAAAAUACAAGCACCACAAGCACAAAUGACACCUGACAGUCGUGUUUGAGUCUGAAAAAAAUUUAAUAAAAUCUGUAAUAAACCAACCACAAAGAAAAUCAUUGAGAACGCAGGCAGGCUCCAGCUCUUCGUGCUCUCGCCGAACAGCAACGCGCCCUAAGCCCCCCUAACGAGCCUGAGGGGAAACCCUCCCCCCGGCCCAGUCCCUCAAGCGCCGCCGGAGGAUCCCUCGCACCCCUCCCCGCCGCCAGCGUUCGGGCGCGGCGGCACGGCGUGGGAGACCCGGUAACGGCGUCGGGCGACGCGGCGGCCCAGGCUACCGCCGCGGGAAGCAGCAGCCCGGCCGCAGCCCGAGACCCCGCGGCCCGCCCCCCGGAGGCAGCGGCAGGGCGGGCGGCAGAGCGGCCCCGGCUCCCCUGAGGAGGCCGUGCCCGCGGCCUCAGCCUCCCGCCGGCUGCUGGCCGGCUCCCGCCGCGCCCUCCCCUAGGCCGCCCUCCCCAGGCCCCGCUCGACGCCCCCGACCCGGACCGUGCAGCGCGGAACACCAGCCACAGCCCCGGCUGCCGCCCCGGGUCGAAGCUCCCCGGCGGUGCCCGCCCGCGCGUACGGCGGCCGA